GUGAUGACACAUGGUUUAGUGGUGGAUCCACGAAGAGAUUGCGUGUUUGAUUGGCCACUCUGGAAAUGAUACAGUGGAUUGCGAUUUUUCCAUGUUGCAUGUUGGUCUAAUGGUUGGACGGCAAGGGCAGAAUUAUGUUGGUACGUGUGGUAGUGGCUUGCACGUGAAACAUCGGUCACAUGGCUAUGGGUGAUGUUCAUUCUUUAGC
rnacentral:lncRNA from 1 species